rnacentral:rRNA from 1 species
CCCAGACUCCUACGGGAGGCAGCAGUGGGGAAUAUUGCACAAUGGGGGAAACCCUGAUGCAGCGACGCCGCGUGAGCGAAGAAGUAUUUCGGUAUGUAAAGCUCUAUCAGCAGGGAAGAAAAUGACGGUACCUGACUAAGAAGCUCCGGCUAAAUACGUGCCAACAGCCGCGGUAAUACGUAUGGAGCAAGCGUUAUCCGGAUUUACUGGGUGUAAAGGGAGCGUAGGCGGUAAGGCAAGUCUGAUGUGAAAGGCCAGGGCUCAACCCUGGGACUGCAUUGGAAACUGUUUAACUGGAGUGUCGGAGAGGCAAGUGGAAUUCCUAGUGUAGCGGUGAAAUGCGUAGAUAUAUGGAAGAACACCAGUGGCGAAGGCGGCCGCCUGGACUGUUACUGACGCUCAGGCACGAAAGCGUGGGGAGCAAAUAGGAUUAGAUACCCGAGUA